rnacentral:rRNA from 1 species
GACGAACGCUGGCGGCGUGCCUAAUACAUGCAAGUCGAACGCUUUGAUUUUCACCGGAGCUUGCUCCACCGAAAAUCAAAGAGUGGCGGACGGGUGAGUAACACGUGGGCAACCUGCCCAACAGAGGGGGAUAACACUUGGAGACAGGUGCUAAUACCGCAUAAUUUGUUUUUCCGCAUGGAAGAAUAAUAAAAGACGCUUCGGUGUCACUGUUGGAUGGGCCCGCGCUGCAUUAGUUAGUUGGUGGGGUAACGGCCUACCAAGACCAUGAUGCAUAGCCGACCUGAGAGGGUGAUCGGCCACACUGGGACUGAGACACGGCCCAGACUCCUACGGGAGGCAGCAGUAGGGAAUCUUCGGCAAUGGACGAAAGUCUGACCGAGCAACGCCACGUGAGUGAAGAAGGUUUUCGGAUCGUAAAACUCUGUUGUUAGAGAAGAACAAGUGAGAGAGUUACUGUUCUCACCUUGACGGUAUCUAACCAGAAAGCCACGGCUAACUACGUGCCAGCAGCCGCGGUAAUACGUAGGUGGCAAGCGUUGUCCGGAUUUAUUGGGCGUAAAGCGAGCGCAGGCGGUUUCUUAAGUCUGAUGUGAAAGCCCUCGGCUCAACCGAGGAAGGUCAUUGGAAACUGGGGAACUUGAGUGCAGAAGAGGAGAGUGGAAUUCCAUGUGUAGCGGUGAAAUGCGUAGAUAUAUGGAGGAACACCAGUGGCGAAGGCGACUCUCUGGUCUGUAACUGACGCUGAGGCUCGAAAGCGUGGGGAGCAAACAGG